CAGAGUUUAGUUUAAUUGGUAAAACGUGGUAUUUCAAAUGCCAAAAGUAUAGGUUCGAAACCUUUAGCUCUUG
rnacentral:tRNA from 1 species